AUCGCUUACGCCAGCACAGCGCGCCGGGAUCAAAACGAUCACUGAAGUCACCUCGAUCUGAGAGGCGGUGUUAGUUCGCUAUCAAGAGGCAUGAGGAGCAAAAAACAUGUUGCUGGGCAAAACUUGUUUGUGUGCCCAGGGUGAAAAGUCAGCCCAGGCUGUGUUUACUGUCUGUCAGGUCUGGUAUUUUAGAGCAGCUCAUGCAACAGGUGCAACUUAAGAUACAGUGAGAGUGAGCUAUUCUGAGUGAUAGCUCAAGUCACCAUUCAAACACCCCUAAGGCCACUCAGUCUGUCUGAAGGAGAGCGAGUUACUUGACUGCUCAAGUGCACAGCAGACGCUUGGUGCUCAAUUGCUGACAAAUGAGAAUGUGCUUAUUCCAAAACGCCUCCUUGCAACACAACAAAGAAAUAUAAUGAAAAUAAGUCGACGUAUUAGCUGCCCUUGUAAGGCACAAAACCUUUGGCCAGUAUUGCUGAAGUGUGCAUGAGAUUUGAUGCAUCAAAGAAACCAUAACCAUGUCUUCAAAAUAGGUGCACUAGCAGUGCAUUCUAGAGAGAGGAGAAAAAAUACUAUUCACAAUAUUUCCUCUUCCAUUUGUGUGUGCUUCACAGGAAGAUGAAUGCAUUUUGCAUUGACCACAGGGCAGAAUCACAUCUGUAACAGCCUGCAUCACACAUGCAUUAGUUCAUCAGUUGGUUCCAUUGACAAUUUUAACUUGCGUGAUGUUUUAAUUCCUGCUACUCUAAUAUUUUAUCAGCUAGACUUUGUACAGGGAUGCUUCACCAGCCAAGAUGAGUAUUUUCCAAUAAUAUUUCUAAUGCUCCUUUCAGACACAGUUUACAAUUUGAGCAGUUUGUACCUUCUAAGUAUGGCAAUGAUGAUUUUUUUUUUUUUUGCAUUCAUCCUAAACAUCAUAUGACCUUCAUGGAUACUAAACUGCACCUACAGCUACACUGGAAGUCUAACUUUUUCAACAGAGCAGAUUGUGUGAGUUUGGCAGCAAAUAUUAACUCAUUAAUCCAGCAGCCUGAAGCAAAUAAUAUAACUGGUUGUGUAGGUAUCUUAAAAUAAACCUGGAAGUCAUGGUGCUCCAGGAGUAAAGGCACAGCAGGACCUGAACCAUCCGCAGAAACCAAAUCAGAAAAACCAAACGAAGCCAAAUAAAUAUUUUUUUUGCUUCCCACAAACGUUACCAGUCAAAAAGAAAAAAAAAAGCCUUGUCGGCUGUGAUAAUAACUUGCAGCCUUUUACGCACAGCGGAGUGAGUCAGAUUCGCCGCGCAGCCGAGGGGAGAUAUUGGGGACAGACUGCGCAGCGGAUAAAACAGAUGAAAAGCUUUCUGUGGGAUGUGUAUAAUCCUGUCCUCACGACAGCCGUCAGACCACCUCGUAGAUUAUAACUCGGCGGAUCAUCGUCGUUCUACGCUAUUUGAAUUAAUUGAAGAGCAGCGGUGGCGACAAAUAUUCCGUAAAUAUUUCACUCUUGCGCUGAAUUUCCUGAGAAGUCAAACAGCAGCAGAAAGCGGAGAGAUCUCUUUUUUGUGUGUCGCCUGUUGCGCUGUGCACGCACAAGACGCAGACUUGCAGUUGACAAGCACAUGGUGCCUUGUUAUGAGCAAUAAACGGAGGAAAAAACCUGAAGGCCCUGAAGCAAUCAGAUGUGGAUGAAAGCGGGAAGAGCUACCGAAAUUCGCAUCCCGACCGGACAUUUACCAUCUUUCCCCUCAAAAAUCGCCACAGGCACAAACAAUUUGGCCAGCAAGUGAAAUCACGGACAGACAGACUGGCGAUCACAGCAGCAUUACGGAGUCUACCUGACAUGCUGUUGAAACGGUGAUGGAGGGAGGAGGCGAUAGGCCAGUGCGCCCCCCCUCCUCCACUUCGCUGCAUGUUACAGAGCAGGUGAGAAACAUUAACAGAGGCAGCGACUGCGGCCUCUGCUCCACACAUGUGGGCCAGGAUAUGAGCUAGCUCCAGCUCGCCUACUCUCAACACUGGUCAGUAAUGUUAACACUCUCCUCUCAGAACCACAGAAUACGGCCCAGAGGAACUGGAAACAGCACAGAUUAUUGUGCAGAUCUUUUUCUUUUUGUCACUUAUCGUACAUUUUUAUAAACAUAAGCUACAGAGCAGUUCUUUACCUAUGUGAUAGGUACAGGUUGCAAACAACUAGUAGUUUUCCUUUCAGACUUUCAUGUGAAUCAUUACAGAGCUCUGAAAUGGCAAAACUUAAUUCUUUGUUCAUGUUAAUCUUCCUGCCAGCAGUCUGACAUUGAUAUACUAAAUUCUAAAACACACAUAGAAAGUAUUUAUUGAACAUUACACUUGAUGUUGAUAGUUUAGAGGUGAAACUACUUUCAUUAAAUUUCUCAUUGUUAAUGUACCAUUUUAGUUACUUAUUGGGUGCAUUUGAAUAUGUAAAUAUCUUGGCUAUACAAUUUGUUUGGGACAUGUGCACCUUGUUGGGUCAUUUGAAUUCCCUCUCAGCUCCAGCCAUGAACUCAGAGACCCAGUUGUCACAUUGUGUUCUGAACACACAGACUCCAGUCAAAGCAGUUGAGGUGUCCCACAGGAGAAUGGCCUGUAUAUUUGUGUUUCUGUGAAUCAUAACCGCUGUUUUGCAUUCAGUGAGGUGUGUCAAAGCGGAUUACCUGCAUGAACGGGGACCUGAAAGGACUUUGUUUUUUAAGGACUGUCCUUUGGGGUGAGGUAGUAGGUUGUAUAGUUUUAGGGUCAUACCCUUCCUGUCAGAUAACUAUACAACUUACUGUCUUUCCUGAAGUGGCUGUAAUGUCGUCAGAUGCCAUUGUUGGAGCUUUUGGAUCCAGAUCAACACUGGAAUGUGCCUGUUUGCUCACUGACUGCUAAGGACAUAACUCGGUUGCAGCAUUUGAUAGCAGUAAGUCAUUUAGGAUUGUAUCUGCUUGAAGAAUUUUUCCAUCUUGUGAUUUUCACAGUUGUACUUUAUGAUCAAUAAAAACUUUUUUUUUUCUGAAUCUCUUUGUACUACACAAACAACAGCAAAACUAUUUUCUUAAUAUCUCCUGUGACGCUGUAUGCUGUGUAAACACUGUCAGCUUUUAUUUACUUUUGCUCGUAUUUAACUGUCUCGUGUAUGAUUAUGACAAGAUUGUGUUUUAAAAAUUAAAACUUGACUUGCAGGCUUAGUCGUUGCUGCUUCUCUGUGAUUUGAAGUGUAUCUGUUGUUGAAUGAGUAUGUGUUUAUGUUGCUAUGAGCAAAUGCACCGUGUUUGUCUGUUCACACCAAAGACUGCCAACCUGUAGGACCUUUCUGAUGUUCGUACGGGGUGAGGUAGUAGGUUGUGUGGUUUCAGGGUAGUGAUUUUGCCCAAUCAGGAGAUAACUAUACAACCUACUGCCUUCCCUGAAGGGCAGCAAUACUACACCAUACAGACAUCAGGAGACAUCAGAAAGACUCCCAAAAUCAAAAGACCAAACCAGGUCAACUGUCUGGCCUAGAGCCACUUCUUACCUGGGAAACAAGCGUCCGCAGUCAAUCGUAGCAAAGAGAACCAGCAGGUAAAGUCUUUUCACUCUGGAAUUUUUCUUUGAUUUGGAUGUUCUACUUCAAACAAUAAUAAAUUUAAAAAAAGAAAAAUAAGA